rnacentral:tRNA from 1 species
GGGGGUGUAAUUCAAUUGGCAGAAUGUAUGCUUUGCACGCAUAACGUUAACGGUUCAAGUCCGUUCAUCUCCA